UACCCCACUAAUACCGAUAUAGGCAUCUAUGUUGGUUGAAAGCUUUGGUGGUGUCAGAUGGGCAUGCGUUGUAUUAGCUAGUUGGUGAGGUAACGGCUCACCAAGGCGACGAUACAUAGGGGGACUGAGAGGUUAACCCCCCCACCACUGGUACUGAGACACGGACCAGACUCCUACGGGGAGGCAGCAUG
rnacentral:rRNA from 1 species